AAACCCUUUGGAAACCGUUGCCCCCGACCUCCCAUCUCCUCCCCCGAAACCCUCUCCUUGCCCUCAACGCCGGUCGGGCUAGAGUUCAGCAUCCUCAUUCGGAGCGACAGCGACACGGCCGGCACGGAUGAGGACGAGGAUGCCACGCCGUCGCCUCCUCCUUGCCACUGCCACCAGCAGCAGCUCGUGACCCGCGAGCUGUUCCCGGCCGGCGCCGGCUCGCCGGCCCCAGCGCCGAGGCAUUGGGCCGAUCUCGGCUUCUUCCGCGCCGACCGACAGCAGCAACAGGCGCCGGGCCCUAGGAUCGUGCCGCACCCACAUGGCGCACCACAGCCCCAUCGCCGCCAUGAUCCUUAUUUCUGUCACCGAUUGCUUCCGACCCUCAUUAAUUUCUGACACAAACUCUCCGUCCUCCUUUUCUUCUCCCGCGACGCAGGGAUUGCGGCAAGCAGGUAUCUAGGUGGAUUCGACACCGCUAACGCCGCUACAAGACACGCACUGGACUGGACCCCUAGAAUUCUUCGUCAUGUGAGUCUCUGACCGGAUUGAUUGAUUGAUUAACGAGUCUCUCGCUCCUGGAACUCGCAGGGCGUACGACCGGGCGGCGAUCAAGUUCCGCGGCGUGGACGCCGACAUCAACUUCAACCUCAGCGACUACGAGGAUGACAUGAAGCAGAGUACAUCAUAUUUGACAUUCUCGAGGCACAGAGUGUAGAGUAUAGCAUGAAGGUUUCUUUUCUUGAGCUGUACAAUGCGGAGCUUACUGAUCUUCUAGCUGUACAAUGAGAUUGCAAGAACGGGACUGCUAAGCAAGCUAAGAUUUCAAUGGCCUAUUCCUUCAUACAUAGGCCAUUGAACCGAAAAAUUUUGUCGGUAUUCGGUAACUAUAGGAUCAUGUGGUUGUUGGUCGAGUUGGACCAAUUAUGCUGGCUCAUUUGUUGGAUGUUUUGACAAGUCGAUUCUAGCUUCCUUAUGAUCUAUGUUAGAUUUGGUAAUGCAUACCAGUUAGUAAAGCAUUUAUGAUGUACAUUGUUAUACAUAGAGCUUUACAUCGCAAAAAUUAUGAGUUUCCCUCAGUUACGAUAUGCAUUUAGUAUUUAUCGUAUUUUGAAAAUUAAUAACCUAUUAUACUAUGAUAGGCUUGACUUCAUGUUUAUCUAAAUAACUUAGUGUGAUGAUGCUUGAAAACUCAUCUUCCAUUUUGCCAGAUCAAUGAAUAAAAGGAUUAUUCAUAUCAAUGUCCAUGCACCUUCUCAGAAAAUCCUUUUGUGUUGUUGGUGUUGGUUUCCUGGACCUGUACUGGUACAUAUGCUAAGUCAUCCACAAAUCUAACCCAGAAUUGUAUCGUUCUUUUUAUAACCAUGUUUGGUACUUGUUUGAGUGCUCCAUAGUUCGCAAGUUUGUUUUGUUAUGAUGUAUUUUGACAUUUGAAUCUCAGACAUGCUUAGGAACUACUGAUUUGAAUUUAUGGGCUAACAGUUCCAGUAUUUCAAAUAGAAAGUAUGCUAUAUCAAAUAAGUUGAUGAUACUUUAUGGGCUAACAGUUCCAGAAUUUAUGGGCUAACAGUUCCAGUUAUGAUGUACUGGAGAAUGAAGUUAGACUGCAUUUGAUAUUAGAAGUCUGAUAUUAGAAGUCUGUUUGUCUGAUUGUAGUUGAUUAUAAAGAAGCUAGAGCUGAUAUUAGAAGUCUGAUAUUAGAAGUCUGUUUGUCUGAUUACAGUUGAUUAUUUAGAAGCUAGAGCUUCCAGUCAAGUUUGAUAUUAGAAGUCUUCUUUUGCUUUUACAUUUUGUUUUUUUAUGAUCUUGAUCUUAGAAGCAGGGUUUUGGUACCAGCUUAACUAAUUUUCUGAAGUUUUAUGUUCUUACUUUAAUUAUAACUAGCUGAUUGCAAUAAGAUAUCAUCAGGCACGCCGAGGAGAACAGGGGCCUCCUCUCCGCCUCCUCCUUCGACAGGCAGCAGCUGCGGAAGGAGGUGGUGAGGAGGGUCAAGGCCGCGGCGGCGGGACGUGAGUGAAGUGAGCUUUGUCGAGCCUGUAUGUGGAGGUCGGCUGUGAAGCUGGGACUAGGACAAGGGCGAGCUGAAGGCUAGAAGCUGUAAAUGCACCCUUCAAGAGUCUUCAUAGGCCAAGUCUCUACUGGAAGGAAACAGUGGGCGAUGAAAGCAGGGAAUUUGGGAGGUACAUGCGACAGAGAGAAGAGCAAGAGAAGCAGGAAGCAGAGUUGUUCACUCGGGCUCCUGUAACCAAACAUGAUAAGCAGAUCGAGAAGCGCAUAAGGAGACAACUUCAUGGGUAUGUUCAGAUAGUUUAUCUUUUGUUGCUUAUUGUCUGUGUAAAUACACAAUCGCCUUUGAUAGCACUUGGUUUGCCCGUUGAGAUUUUCAGCUUGUCUUAAUAUCCAACUUACAACACCAUCUAAUAUUUGAUCCCGACAACAGGCUAGAUAUAUUGUUUCUAAAAAGUGAUUUUUGAUGAAAACAAAAACCUAUGUGCAAACGACUGAAUGUCAAAGUCCUUUCUUCCAUUUUUACCGUGGAGCUGACAGGAUGUUUAGAACUAUUGUUUUAGCUGAUUUUUGUAUUGCUCAGAUCCUAACAAACUUUAUGAUAAUUUGCUUGUUAGGAUCAGCAAACAAUCUACCAAUGGUGGAUUCCAUGCUUAGAAAUGCUUGUACCGUUAGGAUUAAUCUAGGGUUUAUGCAAAUCUGCCCACUGUGGAUCACAUGUUUAGAAACACCAUUAUUAUUAUGGAUAAUAUAUGGUUUUUGAGGAUUUAGCUGUCUAAAGCUGAGAGGGUUGGAGUUGGACUUGCUCUCUCAAAAAUUUUGAGAAUCCAGACUUGAACCUGGAAGGGAGAAAAUUUACAAUUGCUCAAAUUAAGGAAUCCAAACAUCAACAUGAAUAUAUAUACGCAGCUUGGAGACUAGGAUGAGUUCCAUCCCUAUACCAUCUUGCUUCGCUAGAGCAAUGCCAGGCGCACCGGCCUCACGGAGGAGUGCUCAGCUGGUUCUCGUUUUGACCUUGCUCUAGAGGACAUUGCUGAAGGGAAGGUGACGGUGCAAGAAGCCAUCAACCCUUUUUUCUGAAUGGGUUAUUGGUGCAGACUGAUUUAGGAGGGUUUUUAUUGCCAUUGUUCUGAUUUGCUGCUCCACAUAAAAAGCCAAUUGGAAAGGUACCAUUGUUUUCCCGUGCUUGCUACAACAUGUUUGUUAAACUGUUGAUGUGUACUUAUGUGCCAAAUAUUCAAAUAUGUGGUCCGUUAGAUUAUUUAGUGUUUACAUGUUGAGGAGCUACCUACGGUGGCAUCAAUUGUUGCUUAUGAUUUGCUCCCUAGAGGCCUUAAAGGUAAAAACCAUUAGCCCUAAGGAAUUAUCUCUGGCAUAUGAACCAUAUCAAGUUGACAUUCCUUUUUUCUAAUUUUCUUGUUAUUAAUAUGCCUGGUUACCUGCACAAUUCAUUGGGUUUCAUCAUUAUCUUGAUAUUGGUGUGCAUUUAAAAUACUUGAUCGAUCUCUGUCCAAGUGCUACAGGCUGCAUCCCAGGUGCUCGAUGAAAUGCCUAAAGGGCUACAACAAUAGUAAUUCACUAGCUAGCUCCAGCGAAGCUGCCAUAUGGUACCAUGGAGGCACCAACUUCGACAAGACCUUCGGUGGGUCGUUCAUCGCCACUGGCUAAUGCGCCGAUCGACGAAUACGUCCGCUGAGGCAGCCGAAAUGGGUCUCCUAAGGGACCUGCACAAGGCCAUCAAGCAAACCGAGCUGGCGCUGAUCUCUGUCAACCACACAAUCCAAUCCAUCAGAAAAUACGAGAAGGUCAUCCAAAUUCUGUCAAAAAUGUAUCGAGUUCAAACUAGCUACUCAUGGACAUGACCAUCAACUCGAAUGAGCAAUUCUAAGUCUGGGCAGUGACCGCAGUUGAUCAUCUACUCUGCUAGCCAGUCCAUACAUGUGUUCGUCAACGACCAGUCCUAUGAGUUCUUCAACAACAGGCAUCGUAUAUGGUGGCUACAACAGUCCCAAGCUAACAUAUAGUGGGCAUGUGAAGAUGUGGCAAGGCAGCAACAAGAAAUUCAGAACCAGGCGACCUCCAUUGCCUCGCUCUUUACAAAUUCCAAUUGGUUUAAUUUGCAUUUGACUAGGACAAAGCACUAAAUGAUGGUUUGGUGCAGGCUCAAGCAUGAAGCAUCACUUAUGCGUGAUGAUAAGGUUCAAUAUCAAUUGCAUGUCGCGGAGAUGGAGGCAGUUAGCGUUGCAAUGCCUCCUGUUUAUGUAAAUCACGGUAAUGAUGGUGGGCCAGCUGUUAAGGAUAUACAUAUGGAGAACUUUAGCAUCACUAUUGAUCUAAUUCAAGAAGCCACUUUAACAAUCUUAUUUGGAAGGCACUAUGAUUAUAAAUGUUAGUGGUUGUCCAAGUUUCCACAUGUGUGUCGCGUAAUCUCACACAUCUUCAAGGUUUGUGGACUCAAGUGGUCUUAUGACAAUUGCUAGCUUGCAUCCAGAGGCAAUGAGAAAGGAGUAAGAUGUCUGUUGAUAUGUUUCUGUUAGUUUGGAAUGCACUAUUAUUAGGACUCUACACUGUUGUUUUCCCAUACUAAUGGUUCCCCUUGUCUAGCUUUUUGAUUGGAAUCCACAUUCAGUACAACCAGUACUGAAGUAUACAAGCACACAACAGAUGUCAAAGCUAUUGCCAUUUGUAAAAAAAAUUGUUGGGCAUUUUUUCUGUAUCUUACAUAAUGAUCUUUUUUCCUU